rnacentral:rRNA from 1 species
AUUGAACGCUGGCGGCAGGCCUAACACAUGCAAGUCGAACGGUGGCACAGAGAGCUUGCUCUCGGGUGACGAGUGGCGGACGGGUGAGUAACGUCUGGGAAACUGCCUGAUGGAGGGGGAUAACUUCUGGAAACGGUAGCUAAUACCGCAUAACGUCGCAAGACCAAAGUGGGGGACCUUCGGGCCUCACACCAUCGGAUGUGCCCAGAUGGGAUUAGCUAGUAGGUGGGGUAAUGGCUCACCUAGGCGACGAUCCCUAGCUGGUCUGAGAGGAUGACCAGCCACACUGGAACUGAGACACGGUCCAGACUCCUACGGGAGGCAGCAGUGGGGAAUAUUGCACAAUGGGCGCAAGCCUGAUGCAGCCAUGCCGCGUGUAUGAAGAAGGCCUUCGGGUUGUAAAGUACUUUCAGCGGGGAGGAAGGCGGUGAAGUUAAUAACUUCACCGAUUGACGUUACCCGCAGAAGAAGCACCGGCUAACUCCGUGCCAGCCGCCGCAGUAA